CUAAUCUUGAAUGGUGUAACAAUUGCAAAGAAAGAAGAAAAGAGGGCCAGGGUCCAGCUCCCGCGGGCAGUCGCUGGGGGCAGGGGCAAUGAGCUCCGCCGCCCGGGUCCUCAAGUCCUCUGGCGUCUUCCCCACGGUCCGUCUUCAGAGCGUUCUUCUUCAUGGCGUCCGCUGUAAGGGGCAUCUUUGCUUCCAAACUUUAAAAGCGCCUCUUUGCUCUUCUCCCUCUGACUGCCAUGGCCCCGACUGUCCCUGUAGUCUUCCCAAAGGGGUACCUGCCCCGCCAGGUCGCCUUUCUUUCCGCAGUCAGUUUUCCCUUCUUUCCUGCGUCCCCGGAGAGUCCACUUGUGUCUCAGGGGUCUCCCGGAGCAUCCGUGACCCGGCGGUGCCAGCUCUCGCCGCCAGAGGGCGACGUCGGGGGCGGCGCGGCCUCUCCUCCCAGGGUCCCUCUGCUCCCGCCGCCAGAAGGAGGAGGAGCUGUGAGCUGCCCGGCGCUCGACUCCUCCCCCGUGGCUCCGCCGCCCCCCUCACCCCGCCUCGCCGCUCAGAACACAAUGGCGGUGUCUGAGGUGACUGCGAUUGUGGCCAAUGCUCCCAGUCCUCCGGAAUCCUCUAGUUUAUGUGCUUCCAAAUCAGACGAAGCUCUCCAAGACGGUCUGAGCACCAAAAACUCUGGACAGAAGCAGAAGGACUCGCCUCUGUCUAGAUUGACAGUAUCCUGGAGUGGCUGCUGGAAACUUCAAAGUUAUUCUUGAGACCUACAAGCAAGGAAAUGGGGGAGAACUGAGUCAGAUCUGGGCCACCUGGAGGAUUGUACUGCAUUCAAGAGGUAUUAGUCCAUUUCUUAAUAACAUUAUAUAACUUAUGGAUGUAAAACAAAUUUAAAAGUUCUUUAAUAAAUAAUAAAAGCAGAGAAAUAUUUGUAGAUAA
rnacentral:lncRNA from 13 species